rnacentral:rRNA from 1 species
UACAGAGGGGGCAAGCGUUGUUCGGAAUUACUGGGCGUAAAGGGCGCGUAGGCGGCCUUCUAAGUCGAACGUGAAAUCCCUGGGCUCAACCCAGGAACUGCGUCCGAUACUGGAAGGCUUGAAUCCGGGAGAGGGAUGCGGAAUUCCAGGUGUAGCGGUGAAAUGCGUAGAUAUCUGGAGGAACACCGGUGGCGAAGGCGGCAUCCUGGACCGGUAUUGACGCUGAGGCGCGAAAGCUAGGGGAGCAAACGGG